GAGAAAGCGCGCUGCUGAAUCCCGCCGGCGCCGCAGCCUCCGGGCUCCCCGGGCCACGCCCCCAGCCCGCCCGGCCACGCCCCCAGCCCAGCUCUCCCUCGACGCCCGCGGACGGGCCAGCCUCCAACCCAAGCCACGCCCCCGGCCGGCCCUGACCACGCCCCCAGCGCGGGUCUCUGUCCACUCAGGCCACGCCCCCGACCAGGCUCUCCCUCCGCCACCCUCUCAGGCCGCGCCCCCCGCCCAGCGACCCCCAGCUAAGGCUGCCGUCGCCUACAGCCCGGCUGUCCCCACCAUCCUCCCGGCCAUUCCCAACCCCCCAACAGCAUCCCCCAUCCCCCAUCCGGAUCACCCACCCGGCCCUCCUACACUUCUCCCCCACCCCAGCUUUUCUUCCUCUCAGCUACACCCCCAGCCCGGCUCCUUUCCUACCACCCCCAGCGACGCCCCCAUAUCACUACCCCAGCCCCCCCAGCCUCGCCCAGGGCGGGAGGAGCCGCCGCGUCGCCGGGGCAACCGCCCCCCACCUCCCGUCCACUCGCCCCACCUCUGCCUGGGCGUGGAGCGAAGGCACCGUGGCUGCGCGCAUUUCCGAGCAAGGGAAACACUAGAGCCCCAGCAUACCCAGUAUGAACAUCCUGCAGCUCCCCUCUGCUGAAGGACCCCUCACCACAUCCACAGCAUAGACACUGCCUACCGCAGCAGGAGGCACCAGAAUCUGGGGGCCAUGACCCGGCUUCCGUUUCCAGAACUUUGGGACUUGAGCCUCUGCUGGGUCCUGUGACAGAUGAUGGCGUUUUGAACCCCUGUGAGAUAAGUGACCUAGACUCAAACCGUGGUCUCAGCGGCUUCUGGAUGAGCCCAACCGAAGAAGCAGUUUGUAAUCAGUCGAAGCCUGGGAACGGACUGCCAGCUGUCUCAGCAGCAAAAGGCCCCUGACUGACGAUGAAUCUACUAACAGGAUACUGAGAAGGGUGCAGUACCUUCUGUGGCAUUUCUGCCCAAAAUGCACACCCUCCGCCUAACGUGAGGAAACAUCAGAGAAAUCCAAAUUGAGGGGAUAACUGGCUGGUACCCUUUGAACGUGUCAAGGUCAUGAAAGACACAGAAAGACUGAAGAAGGGGAAUGGUUUGGAGCAAACACUUUAGUUUGACAACUGAAUGUAAUGCGGGGUGUUGGAUUGGAUCCUCAACCAGAAAGAGGACAUGAGUGGGAAAAAUGGUAAACUCUGAAUAAAGCCUGCAGGUUAGUAAAAACAGUGUUGAAUCAAUGUCAAUAUCCCGGUUUGGGUCAUCGUGCUGUGGUUGUGUUAGACGUUAACGUUAGGGAAGCUGUUGAAGGAUACACAGGAACUCUGUGCUAUUUUUACCACGUCUUUGUCAGUGUAAAAUUAGUUUAACAUAAAGGUUAAAAAAAGCAUCCCCUACAAAU